GGAUAGCUGGCAGAGCUCGGUUUAAUGCACCUGACUUGAAAUCAGACGUACCGCAAGGUACCGGGGGUUCGAAUCCCUCGCUAUCCGCCA
rnacentral:tRNA from 1 species